AAACAGCAGAACACUGAAAUGAUAAAGCUCCAAUAAGCCUCACACCUCAACACCCCAACACAGCCGACACUAUGUGGUGAAAAAAUAGAAAAUUCCGAAGCAUCCAGAAGCAUCCAAACUGCGUGAUAUCAGGCUUUUAUUUGACUGGCCUACCCCGCGAGUUUCCCUAAGAUGGUGCUGGCAGAGCUGAGUGAGGAUGAGGCCCAUACGGCCAGG